rnacentral:rRNA from 1 species
UACAGAGGGGGCAAGCGUUGCUCGGAAUUACUGGGCGUAAAGGGCGCGUAGGCGGUUCUAUAAGUCAGGCGUGAAAUUCCUGGGCUUAACCUGGGGGCUGCGCUUGAGACUGUGGGACUUGAGGUCAGAAGAGGGUCGUGGAAUUCCCAGUGUAGAGGUGAAAUUCGUAGAUAUUGGGAAGAACACCGGUGGCGAAGGCGGCGACCUGGUCUGAUACUGACGCUGAGGCGCGACAGCGUGGGGAGCAAACAGG